GGCCAACAAUCAGGUGGCUCCAUUUGCCCUGACACAGGAAGAAGCUGCAAUAAUUGACCAGUACUACAUGUCAGUACGACCAGACUGCAUUAAAGACGUGGUGGACAAAGACGCAGAUGGACAUGACCGGCUGUUUCUGGCGAGAAAUGGAAGACCGAUUAACAGUGCCACCAACGACCUCCGGCGUCUGCAUGAACAUUACAAGUUGAAAAACAUCACAAGCCAGGAAAUCCGCCAGGCUGUGGAAACA